GGGGAUAUAGCUCAGUUGGUAGAGUGCUUGCCUUGCAUGCAAAAGUCCCUGGGUUCCAUCCUCAGCCCCG
rnacentral:tRNA from 1 species